GUAGGGAAUAUUGCGCAAUGGCCGCAAGGCUGACGCAGCAACGCCGCGUGGGGGAUGAAGGUUUUCGGAUCGUAAACCCCUGUCGAGAGGGACGAAAGGUGAAUGGGUGAAUAACCCAUUCGCUUGACGGUACCUUUAGAGGAAGUUCCGGCCAACUUCGUGCCAGCAGCCGCGGUAAUACGGGGGGAACAAGCGUUGUUCGGAAUUACUGGGUUUAAAGCGCGCGUAGGCGGAAUAGCAAGUCUGGUCGUGAAAUCCUCCGGCUUAACCGGAGAAUGGCGCUGGAAACUGCUGUUCUUGAGUGCGGAAGAGGAAAGCGGAAUUCACGGUGUAGCGGUGAAAUGCGUAGAUAUCGUGAGGAACACCGGUGGCGAAGGCGGCUUUCUGGUCCGCAACUGACGCUCAGGCGCGAAGGCUAGGGGAGCAAACAGGAUUAGAAACCCGAGUAGUCC
rnacentral:rRNA from 1 species